rnacentral:rRNA from 1 species
UGGUGGAGUGAUUUGUCUGGUUAAUUCCGAUAACGAACGAGACCUUAUCCUGCUAAAUAGCUACAGUAAGCCUUGCUUGCUGCUUAGCUUCUUAGAGGGACUACUGACGUUUAGUCAGUGGAAGUUUGAGGCAAUAACA